CGACGAGCGCGGGCGGCGGCUCCGCGUCUCCGGCUCCCGCGUAGGGAUCUCGUCAUGGGUGAGAGUUCACGGGCAGGGCUUCGCGCGAGCGCUCUUCAGCGCCCCUGGCUCCGACUUCCUCGCGGCUCUUUCUCCUCGUGCAGCGGCGGCGAGCACCGCGAACGUGGCGUGCUCCGAGCGCGGGUGGGGCGGGGCCGGCCAUGAGGGGUUUCGGCCGCCGCCGGCCCUUGGGAGACUCGAGGGAGGACGUUCCUGCCUGCGGGGGCGCCAGCGGCGGGGGGGCGACGGAGCCCUCGUCCCGUCCCGUCCCGUUCCGUUCCGUUCCCCUGGUGGUUAUGUGCUGCCACGAACGUGCGCUGUCGGGCCUCUCGUGGAGCCUUUCUUGGAGUUUACGUUGUGGUGAGGGGCAGCCAUUGGUCGCAAGCAUGGGUUCGCUAGAGGAGACCUCACCCAGAAUGGGGCCGGGGGUGGUUCUCUGAGGAAAGAAGUGUCAGCGGCCCCUGGUGACAGUGAACUUCCGGAGACAGAGGCCCCAGGCUCGUUGAGAGCACAAGCAGGGGGAGUAGCGGAGGCAGAGGGAGAAGCAGACUCCCUGCUGAGCCUGGAGCCUGAAGACCCUGGAAUCAUGACCGGAGCUGAAAGCAGACACUUAACGGACUUAGCCACCCAAGUGCCCCUAAAGUUUUAUUUAAAACUAGCCCACAAGAAGGAGCAGCUGCUGAUCACGUCAGACCACCAUGUUCUGCUCGGGCAGGAACAUUCUUCUUAACAAGUACCAAGGGGGAAAAAAUGUGGUGGAGUGGAAGGGGGACUGGCCUGUCCCCCCAGGAUUGCUACAUGCAUGUAGUCAAAAGACAUGGAUUUGAAUGCUGACUUGAAUGCUUCUUGACAUUAUGACCUUAAACAAGUUACUUAGCCUGUUGGAACCUCAACUUUUCAUCAACAAAAUAGAGAUAUUAAUAGGUACCUGAUAGGGUUACACUGUGUGAUCUAAAUAACCCUAUAUAAGAUACCAAGAACAGUGCAUGGAACAAUAGACACUCAUGAGUUCCCCUCUCUAAACUAGCCCCCUUCCUCUUGCUGCCAUAUUCCUCAGCAGUAACCAGCAAAGUAUCUUAAAUUACUUCUCUAGACCUCUUAAGUUUCCUGAACCAUGCUACUAAGUCAUCCUUUUAUUUAUCUUUGCUCAGCCUCACCUUUCAUUCCCCUACUAACCAUUUCCACAGAGAGCACUGAGAACUUCUCUCACCUGUCCCUUUGCCCCCACCUCUGGACUUACCUGCAUCCACCUCAGUCAUUUCUCCUGGUCUUGGGCGCCUUUCUCCCACUGAACACCAAUCACCCCUGUACUGGAUUCCAUCAUUUCUUGCCACCUCAGCUGUCAACUGUUUGCUCUCUCAUCUGUAAUUUUGCUUGUUCUCUCUUGUUACAGGCUUCUCAUACCCAAGAUUCUUCUGCUUAUAAAAAGCCUCUUUGUAGCUUCUUAAUCUUUUCUGUAGUUAUUGCUCUAUUUUCUCUCACCCUGGCUUGGGAGAAAAAAAUAUAUACAUAUUAUUUCCACAUCACUCUUCGCUUGACCCACUGGUUUCUAUUCCUGUCACACUACUAAGACUACAAUAGUGAAGGACAUCAUUCAGUGGAUAUAAUUCAGUUUCUCCACACAUAUAUGACUUGACUACCAUACUUGAUACCACGAAUCUUCUCUUGACACCUUUCUUUUGAUUCUUGCAAUCUGGCCAUUCUUUCUUAGUUCCUAUCACUGAAUUCACUUCCUCUGUCCCUUAAAUGUUGGUGUUUUCCAGGAUUCUGUUCUCACACUUUCCUUCUUACUCUCUUUUCUCCUCUUGGGAUGAUCUCAUGUACCCUCAUUGUUUUUCAUUCUCAUCUAUAUACUGAUGCUCUCUUGUCCUCUCUCUGCCUGAGCUCUAGAACUCUAGAUUCAAUUGUGUGUUGGACGUCUCUACCUCAGUAGUCCACAGAUGCCACAACAUGUCCAUAAAUGAAUUAAUCAUGUCUUUCCUCUCCUUCCCCCUACUCUGGACACUCCCCUCCUGAUAAGCCUAUACUUUCUCCUCAAUUUCCUGAGUUGGUUGGUGGAACAGCUAUCCAUCCCAUUAACCAAAUAUGAAACCUGGAUCAAUCCUUUGUUGACACAACUUCCUCCUUUCUCCACAUCCAGCCAGUGACAUCUGAGCAGAGAGCUGAAUGACGAGGGGCCAGCCCUAUGAAGCUCUGGGGGGGAAUAUCUAAGGCAGAGAUGAGACUCUGCCUUUACUGUCAUAGUAAUGUGCUCUGACCAAACUGGCCCAGGUUUGCCUGACUCCUGUAUGCAGUGAUGUUAAGAGAAUUAUUUAUACAGGAAAGCUCUUAAACAGAUCAAAUAAGGAAAUGCAUUUACAUCAUCUUAGGGUAGAACACAAGACUGUUUUCACUGACAAUAUUUUCAAACAAAAAGCUGCGAGGUUGUCACUAAAAAAUGGAUCUUAGAUUCAUUGCAGCUCCUCAAAUUCCUUUUUUGUUCUUUGGGAGAGGGAGCAGGGGAGAUGGGCAGGUGGGCUGGGCAGGCACAGACCUCCCCUAACUUAGCUAUAUCUCUCCUGCCUAUUGGCUUUGUUUUGAAGACACUUGGAUUUGGGAUUAACAACACAAUCAUUCCUUCUUAAAAAUUUAUAUAAUUUUAUAUUCCAUAUGUUUUGUUAUUAAAUAUGCCCUUUAAUAGAAAAUAUUCAGUUUUGGGUUUUAUAUCCUGAUUUUUUAAAUUAGAAAACUUAUAAUCUUAUAUAAUCUAUAUAACUAAAAAGAUUGCCUUAUUUUUAUGAUCUGUAUUUUGCACAGAUAUGGAACUAGGUUAUACGAAAACACAAUUGAUUACUGGAAGCAAAAGCUUUCUGUUUAUCAUAAGCAAAUAGCUCUUUCCAUCAGAAAGGAUAAACGUGAUCUUCUCCCUGGGCUCCCUCCCUAGCUGCUUGCUGGCACUUGAUACGAUGUUGAGUACUGUGGUUAUAUGUGAACGUUGGGUUGCCAGCACCAUGGCAGCAGAGCCUCUGUUACAGAGCGAUCUUUGUAUCGCCCACGGCGCUAGCCUAGUGGUGUCCUGCACAUAGGAGGCCUCCAGUAAGUACUGGCUGAAUGACUCAAGGUUGUCUCUUUGCAGAGGUGAGUACCUGAGUUCAGUGACACGAGCUGCAUUUCAGCUACUGGGGCUGCAGUAGCCAGGCGGGGCCUGUGGGCUCCUAUGGCUUCUGAAUUCUCUUGGUCACCCACCCUUUACACGGUCGUCCUGUCACAGCCCCCCUCGCUUCUCCCCCACUGCCUUGGAUACUGAUUGCCUCUCGGCUUCCCCUCACUCUGUCUCUCUCUCAACAAUGAUUUAGGGCUAUUUUUAUAGUCUGCUAAUUCUCUGAGAAUGAGGUGCCUCUUCUGGGAGCCACUGCCAUCCUCAAUGGCACUGCAAAUAGGUUUUUGUUGACUGAUCUCCAGGCUCUCCAAGUCAUUUUGCCCUCACCCUGAUUACAAGGCACCAUCUGUUUGCCUCGAUGGCUUAAUGAAUCAAGGGCUCAUAAAUGUAUCCGAUAUCUAAAAUGAUCCAAAUCACAGUGAGGACAGGAUAAUGGUGUCCUUCACCAGAAAUGGAUGGACAGUUACUUUUAUAGCUUUGCAGAAAAACGGAUAUGCAGACACUUCACCCAAAUUGGUGGCCCUGAGUUACUCUCCCUGUGCUGAUGCUUCUGCUCAGGGACAGGAACCUGCCUGCCCUGUUUCAGGAGACACAAGAAGAGAAAGAUUAUCUGUCUGACCCAUGUUCACUCAGUGAAUCAGCAGUCAAGUACUAGCCAUAGUCCUUCUGCCACUUUGGUUUAUAAGGGUCAGAAGAAUUUUUCAAGCAUGAAAAAUAUUAGAAUAACCAUUAAAAACGUGAGCUAGUAACCUUGGCCUGUUGCCUAGUGUAAUACGGCUGUUCAGAGGGAAAUCCCGUGCAGUGAGACAGCUGAUUGUGGUUGUGUGUACUACAGGGUGAUUUCUGUAGAAAUUGGGUGGGUUGUUAAGUAGUUUUAAAAGAUUUAUUACCACUUCUGGCUAAUUUGUUCUUACAGUUAGCUGAGAUCUGGAAUCCUUGUGAUCCAUGGGGUACAGUGAGUGAGUUGUCUCCGACUCCCUAUUACCUGCAAGUAUCUCACACCAGAAGCAAGCAGAGCUACAUGCAGCUGCCCAAACAGCCUGCUCUAUCCCGACACAUGCUCUGUGCCUACCGUUCUCUAGGCACACUGCUAUGCUCUCGACACAUUCAUGUCUCUGAUCAUGAAAGCGGCUCUAUCACGUAAAUAUUGCUAUACCCAUUUUACACAUGAGGAACCUGAGGAUCAGCAUAAUUAACUUGCUAGAGUUUCCACAGAGGCAGAGGCAGGAUUUAAACCCAUUCCUGUUUAGCUCAUGCUCUUUCUAGAAUGCUCCAUUGCCUUGCAAUGCUCUUUUCUCCUGCUUGUUCUUAUUCUGAGUCUAACCUUCUGUUUCCCUGUCAGAAUCCUUAUCAAUCACAAGUGUUUUUUGAAAUAUAAAAAUACAUGUAUGUGGGCGCCUGGGUGGCUCAGUCAGUUGAGCAUCUGCCUUCGGCUUGGGUCAUGAUCUCAGGGUCCUGGGAUGGAGCCCCAUGUCAGGCUCUCUGCUCAGCGGGGAGUCUGCUCCUCCCUCUCACUCUCCCUCUGUGCUCUCU